ACUGCCUUCGUUGGCUACGAGAUCAAACCAUAAAUCAUAUCCCAACGCACAAAAGAAAGCAAAUCUAUAAAACCAAACAAAAACCAAAAGAGAGGGCCCCUCCAUUGACAGACGUGUCGCAUAACAAACCACAAAACGGGCAUAAAGUCAAUGAACUCUCUCUCGGCUUACGUUUCGGCUUAGAGAGCAUUCUUUUGGCCAAUUUCUCAAGGCCCCGAACUUCCUUCCCCAUGCCGUGCUCCCCGUCUUCGGAGUGCAUAAAUCGAUGACUAUCAAAGCGUUUUUACAGCUAAUGCGGCUAUUUUUAUUCAUUACGUUUUCUUGGCUUUCUUUUAUCGAUUGGAGUCCCGGCCUCGGCCUCGGCCUCAGCCUCAGCCUCGGCUUUGGCUGCGUCCAGUCGUUGACCGUAGUGGCGGCCCAGUGAUUUUGCUCUUCCGCUUGGCCCUAUCAUUAAUAUACACAGACACAGUCUCUCUUUACCUGUAGUCGGUUGCUGGUUUUGCCCCGGAAUUCUCGUCUCUGGCUGCCAAAUUUGCUUUGCAUCUUAGAGCAUCUUGCGAGUAGAUUUUCCUCUCUGAUUUCACAGUCAGAUGUUAGUUUUAAUAAAUAUGUUUUACCUAUGGUCGGCCGUGGAGUCGAGUCAUUUGGCAGUAAUUUCUUUUUAUGGCUCAUUUGCAUGACAGGAGACCGGACCGACCAGUUUCUCGACAUCGGCUGGCGACUGAUUUUCAUUGGAGUUUGGGCUGUCCAGUCGCCUGGGACGACUGUUAAUUGGAUAGAAUGACUGAAAAAUUGCGUCUAUCCGUUCGGGGAACGGGGAAAAAUGUCAUAAUUUUGUGUGGAAAAACAGAUAGCAUCUAUAUGGUAUGCUCGUAAUUAUGAUAUAACCCAGCAGACAACAGCACAGGAAGUGGGCCCUGGACCAAAGUUUGGGGCGUAAACGAAACAACUUUCUUAGUGGAGUGUGUAAAAGUAUUUGCCCAUUAUCUAUCUCUGGUGUACAUGUUAAAAAUGUAGCCUUUGGCUGCCAAUAAAACCUUCAACGGGCCAAAGGUACGACGAGUACAGCCCCAGACCUCAGACCUCUUUUGGAAGUUGGCAGAGGAGUUGAGUUUCCCUUACGAUUUAUCUAUUUCGGUUUAUCAGCUAAUAAACGCUUAAAUAAAA